UUGAUAGCAUCCACCUUGUAGACUCUGAUCGGCGUCGGUGCCGGUGGUGCCACCGGCGCCUUCUUCCACGGUUUUGCUUGUGCCUUCCUCACAGAAUGAAGCAGAGAAUGAGACUUGGACGCAGGGUAAGAGCUUGAAUAAGCUUCCAUAACUUAGAUCACUAGCUUGGUUGGUUUGAUUUUCUUUGUGGAUGAUUAAAAUUGAAUUAAGGUGUGUGGGUGGUGGCUAAGAGAGUACGUUGUUGGUUUGCUUGUUUUGGACUAGUAUUUAUAGAUGAGGGUAAGAAUGAUGAAGGAGCGUGCGCUGUUGCAUGGAAUGUCAAUAAAAGACAACGACUUGAAGAUGGGGCAGCUCAGGAUUCAGACAUGGUUUUUGUCUUCACCGUCGGCGGAAUAUAUCAUCAUUAAUGCAUAUGCUAACUCAUCCCAUUCUAUGGUCAAAAUAAUUUAGUUGGAUGGAUCACCAUCUUAAUUAUAUUAUUAUUUUAUGUAUAAAAUAUACCCUCCAAGGUUGUCUUCUUUCCACGUUCUGUU
rnacentral:lncRNA from 1 species